GGCAGUUAGUAAAAAAUCCAUUUUAUUAUAUAUAUCUUUUAGAGAUGAUUCAUUUGUAUCUAGCCUUUGUUUAACUUCGUUAUUAAUUUUAGUUUGUUGAGCAAUUAUCUCUUUUAAUGAAAGUUGCUUGAAAGUAUUACCUGAAUUCAUACCUUUGCUAUUGGGUUGACUCGAAGUUGGUUGAUAUUUGUAUGCUGUCUCAAUGGCCCUU
rnacentral:lncRNA from 1 species